rnacentral:rRNA from 1 species
CGGCCGCGUCGACCUGGGGAGUACGGCCGCAAGAUUAAAACUCAAAUGAAUUGACGGGGGCCCGCACAAGCGGUGGAGCAUGUGGUUUAAUUCGAAGCAACGCGAAGAACCUUACCAGGCCUUGACAUCCAAUGAACUUUCCAGAGAUGGAUUGGUGCCUUCGGGAACAUUGAGACAGGUGCUGCAUGGCUGUCGUCAGCUCGUGUCG